rnacentral:lncRNA from 1 species
ACUCAGCCUCCUCCUAGCAGGUGGAGUGCUCCCUGGCCUGCCUGGAGCAGGAGAGGCACCAGAUGCAGGGAUCCCAGGGACAGGCUGAGUGGAGGAGGCCAGACCAGAACAUAGAAGACAAGAGAUGCUGGUGCCAGGCCUGCAGAUCCAAGAGCAGAGCUGGGAUGGAGGCAGGGCCCAGGAGCUUCGGGACCCAGAGUCUCCAUGCCAGCAGCUGAGACCCCUGCCCAGGCUCAGGACACAGUCCGUCUGCAGGAGCAGUUGCUGAUACUCACUGAGGUGAACAAGAGACUCAGAAGAGCUGGGCCAGAGCCACCAGCAACUAGGGGCCUGCUUGGAGCAGCUGCAGCAUCUGCAGGGAGAGCAGAUGGUGUUGGGGGGCCAUUGCAGGCCCUGGAGGCAGAGCACACCUGGCUACUUCAGGAGAAGGUGGGGCUGCUAGCAGCACUGGGUGUGGCCCCGGGCCAAGAGUCCUGUACACUCCAGGUCCUGGAGGUACCAGUGCCCCUCAGGAAAGAGCUAGAGGCACAAGAAUCACAUCCCAGGCUUCAUGAGGAGAUGGCUGAAUAUUGGAAGGCACGCUGGCACCGGCUGGCAGUUGCCCUGAAAUUUAAAGAGGAGGAACUGCAGAGACUCCAGAGGCAGAGUGGGACCUGGCCUCCCCAGCAUGCAUUUAUUGAGCAUCUGCUACAUGCCUGGCCCUCUUCUGUGUGCAGAAGCAAUGUCAAAUCAGAUCACUCCUUGUCCUCAACAGCUUAUGGUUUGGGGGCACCCGGUAAUUGAGGCAGACCGCAGCAGAGACCCCAGGCCAGCCCCCGGAGUCUGCAAAUGAAAGGAGCUGUGGGAGCCCAGGUCUGCCAAGGAGCUGGAGUCUGCAGUGUGGACUCCACCAGAGGCCAAUGGGAGGUGGGUUCAGAGCUGGCUGAGAUGCAGACUGAGCUCGAGAAGGUCUGCAAUGUGCUGGAAGCUUGAGACUCAGAGCUGAGAGCUGAGCAGUGGGCCCUGGAGGCUGCCCAGGACCAGGUGCUCAGCAGCUGCCCCCCUGCACUGUGCUUCCGACUGGCCUGC